rnacentral:rRNA from 1 species
CGUGUAGGCGGAUGGGGACGUCGGUUGUUGAAAGCCCCCGGCUCAACCGGGGAACUGGCGCCGAAACGCCCUGUCUUGAGGAGCGUAGGGGGACCUGGAACUUCCGGUGGAGCGGUGAAAUGCGUUGAGAUCGGAAGGAACGCCCGUGGCGAAAGCGAGGUCCUGGACGUUAUCUGACGCUGAGACGCGAAAGCUAGGGGAGCGAACG